UAGAAAAAUACGGGCGAUAAA
rnacentral:miRNA from 1 species